AACGUAGGAGGCAAGCGUUAUCCGGAGUUACUGGGCGUAAAGCGCGCGUAGGCGGUCGGGCAAGUUGGGUGUGAAAGCUCCCGGCUAAACUGGGAGAGGCCAUUCAAGACUGCCAGGCUAGAGGUCGGUAGAGGGGCGCAGAAUUCGGGGUGUAGCGGUGAAAUGUGUAGAGAUCCCGAGGAAUACCAGUGGGGAAGCCGGCGCCCUGGGCCGAACCUGACGCUGAGGCGCGACAGCGUGGGGAGCGAACGGGAUUAGAAACCCCGGUAGUCC
rnacentral:rRNA from 1 species